UGGCUGUUAACAGAAAGGCUGGUGGUCCGAGCCCAACCAGGGACUCCUCGCUUUGUUGUUUUAACCCAUUUCUGUUGAUAUACAAUCAACUCCAGCCUAAUCAGGAGACACACAUGUCCUCUUCCCCACCUUCUUAGGUCUGAGGCUUGGCAAGGCCCAUGGUGCCUUGUACCUGUCAAACUCAAGAAUCCCAGAGACCUUAGACAGGAACUCACUUCUGGUGUGAUAAAAAUGUUCUUUGCUCCCAUGGAAGACUUGGGGGAGUAAAGUGCCUCUAGUUUUUCAUGUUUAAUAAUAGGAGACCUAUUACAGUAGUAUUCUGUCCCCGGAUGUGCCUGGGUUUAAGUAAUUCCUCUAUCAAUAAUGUGACCAGUGGAAUCAGUCAUCCUCAUGGUGAUCCUCGCCAUUGUUUGUGAAAACAGCAUUUCUUCCUCUGUUUGUGCAUGAUUUAACCCUUUUCAAGAUGUUUUUGAAAUGAGGUGGGUUUCAUGGCUUUAGGAUUACAAAUGAUGCCGCAAUCUCCACUAUUCUUGUACACAUAUCUUUGGACACUUGUGCAGAUAUUUCUAUAGUGUAGAGAGGAGGAUGUGCCAUUUUUACAUUACAACAUUUAUUUAAUGCUUCUAAUUUGAGUACAUUCUGCAAAUUUAUCUUCCGUGGGAGCGAUACCAAAUCAUAUUCCAAUUUGUUUCCCAAUUCUAUCAAUGUCCCUUCUGUCAUUUACUUGCCGGCACAACAAACGUUUCUACACAUUGAUGUAUGAUAUUCCACUGAGAAGAGAGGCAUCCUCCUGGCUUAACUGAGGGGGUGUACAACCGAAGGAAAUGGUGGACAUUACGCACAGAUAUUCUGCGGCUUAGGAUGAGCUGCUAAACUUCUAGGAUGUUUUAAAGUCCUCCAAUAUCUGUAAUUGUUUUCUGUGGUGACCAAGUCACGUGGGUCCGGAGAAGAUGGGCCACAGUGACCUCUUUGUCAGCUUUCUGCCAAGUCGCUUAUACAAGGGGAGCAAAAUCACAAAGGUCCCAGAUAAUUUUUUCUUCUCCCCUUUCCUCUUUUCUUCAUAAAUCUUGGUUUUGCUUUUGUUUGACCAAACCAAUGUAAUGCCCAUUCUCCCUCCUAUACAGUGGUAAAUUAACAUGCAAAUAGCUAUCCCUUUAUUAUUCUUUGAUAGAUUUCUGCUGUGGCUAUGUCCAUAAAAAUUAGCCCAUUUGCGAUACAUCAUUGGAGCCAACAGAACCCUGCACCCAACAGGCACCUUGUGCAGACCUGGACCCUUAGAGCUAUUGGCUCAUGUUCCUUCGGUUCUUCUACUGAAUAUCAUGAGUAGAAACUGAGCUCUUUGGCUUUUACCCACUACUCUGGCUAUAGUACAUUUUUUCUCUCUCCUCUUUCUCAUUUUUGUAUCAUGAUUUUCUGCCAUCAGUGGCAUCAGUGUGGAUUUCUGGUUUUGAUGUUAUUGAGUGAACUUCUGGGAUUGUUUUAUGGCUGUAUAACAGUCAGUAUUAAAUCCUUCUGUUGAUGAAGAUUUGUGUUAUUCCCAGUUUUUCCUUAGUAGAAAAAUGAGGUUAAUAAGAACAUUUUUGGAUGUAUUGUUCAUUUAAUGGGGGUAAUCAAUAAAGGUAAGUGUGCUUCCUUUUCAGGUAGGCUUAACUCGAUGAGAAACUACCAAUUAUUAGAACAGCUGUUGUGCUAAAUUGCAGUCCAACUAACAUCACACAGCAAUAUCAUACACACUCUGUAUGAGGAAGUGGGAGAGGCAACAACUUUCAAAAUCAGUUUUUCUAUGUUUCCUUUCAUUUUCUAGUGAACCCUUAAUGGCAUCUUUGAAGGUGGCUAUGGUCACACCAAGUGUCACCACCAGCCUAUUCAAGUCCUGCCUCAGAGCCAUGGAGUGAUACACCAGGGCAGCCCAGCCAAGUCUCGGGCUCAUAAAUACCAGGCAGUAAUAGAUGCCUAUGAAAUGAGAAGGGUCAGAUGAUUCCUCCCUCUCCCAUCAUGUCUGUGCCUCUCUUUGCAGCUGCCGUGCCGCUAAAAACAAUUGGUCACACUUAUUUUGUCAAAGAUAAAGUCAGACAUUAGUCAAAGCUGUGAAAACAGAUUUUCUUCAGUAACUAUUGACCAUAGAGGAAGGGGCUGAGCUCCAUCGCAUUUGUGCAGAGGUGAUGGCAUUCUAAACAGAGAGUGAGGCAGGGGAGAGGGCACAGCACAAGUGAAACAUUACAAAAGAUUAGUCAUUGUAAGCUUCUGCCUCAUCAAGACAGCUGUGUCUGCCAGCUGGCAAUAUUAGACAUUAGGAUUCUAACCUCCCACAGAGACCGGAAGACAGAGACUCAGUCCUUCCUGAGGACUAUACCUCAAAGGAAUGGCUUUCAGAUCCUGGGAAAAGACACACUGGAGUCCCUAGGAGAUACACACAUAUCUCAAAGGGAUGGAGGAAGGAUUCCCUUCUUAGUAAGUGCUAUAAGAAGGAACCUACCAUCAUCAGCAGGUACUGGCUAGAACUAAAGUAAGUUCCCCUGGCAGCCUUGAGCUUUCUUAGGCAGGCAUUGCCAUGGGAGCCGAGGGUCAUACACAGGAUAUGGUCUUAUGCUAUUAGAAGUCAUGAUAGAGUCUGAUCAACUCUUAGCACAGAGGUUUAAACUGAGUCUUUGUGUGCUGAGUUUGGUUGUUCUCAUUUUCCAUUCCCCCAUCCCAUGGUCAAGAUUUUACUGGACUCUGAUAGAUGGACAAGGCCACGGGCCAUUUUCAGUGACAUUCCAGCAGCCUAGGCAUAUCUAUUGAGAUCUAAAUGAAAACAAAGAAAACCGUGAGAUUGGGAGUGGGCCCCAAAAUAGGUAUGCAUUACCGAUAUUCGGGAGAUAAAAAUAUAUCUAGGCCUUGUCAAAAUGGAAAGUGACUUAUGCAGCCAAGAUGAAAUUCAAACUUACAUUUUCAAAGUAUAUAGCCUGUUGAUAUUUUGUAUAAGAAAGCCAUGGCAAAAUGACAAUCCACAAGUGGCAAUGGUAUGUAUGGGUAGGGAGAGACUUCAUAAGGUAAAAAUUAUCCUCACUUUAAAUGAAACUCCUAUGUGUUGCUACAGUAAGGGAACAGAAGCCAAUGUUACGCUGGAGUAUAUUAAUUGUCAUGGGAUAAACAGGCAGGACAUGAUGCUACAUUUAUUAGUAACUUCUAUUGAGAGUUUUUGUGAAGGUUAAUUUUUGUGGCAAUUUGACUGGGCCAGAGGGUGCCCAGAUAUUUGGUUAGACAUGAUUUCUCACUGUGUCUCUGAGGGUGUUCCUGGAAGAGAUUGACAUUUCAAUCAGUAAACUCAGUGAAGCAGAUUGCCCUCCUGGGUGUGAGUGGACCUCAUCCAACCCAUGGACGGCUUGAAUAGGAUGAAGGGUUAAGAAAGAAGUUUUUCUUCUCCACUGUCUUUGAGCUAGGACAUCAAUCUUCUGCCUUAAGUCUUGGACUUGGUCUUGAACUAUAUUUGACUCUCCUCGGUCUAGAGCUUACUCAGAGUAGAACUUGGGCUUCUCUGCUUCUGUGUGUGUGUGUGUGUGUGUGUGUGUGUAUGUGUGUGUGUGUAUCCUGCUCAUUUCUUUCUCUGGAGGACUAAGACUAAUAUAGUAUUAUAUGCCAGUUGCCAGUUUUUGUCUUUAUUCUUUUGAAAGGUGUAAAAUAAAUAAAUAAAACAAAACCCUGGACGGUUCUCAAAGAAGAACAGUAAGGAUUACUAGAAGUUUUAAACUUUUAGGAAAAGCCCUAAGAACAGCUUUUGUUAAAACAGUCUUCAAGAAAAUAAAGGGUGUUGGGAAAAAUAUUGUUGCCUUAAUGUUUUUAAGCAAAGGCAUGAUCAGUCAAGGAGAAAUAUACUUAGGAUUUUUUUAAGUUAAUUUUUACAUUUUAAUAAUUCACAUACAAUCUUAAGAACUCAGAGAGAAAAAGAGAGGUCCCUUGUACACUUUACUCAGUUUCCUCCAAUGGUAACAUCUUGGUAAUAUUUCCAAAAUGGUAAUUUUUGCAAAUACUGCAAAUGUAUUGCAAAUGCCACAGUACCAGGAGAUUGACAUUGAUACAAGCAAGGUACAGAACAUUUCCAUCAACACUGCAAUUCCUCAUGUUGCCCUUUUAUAGCCGUGAACCUGUCUCUCCAGUGCUGCUCCUCCUUCCCUCCUUAAUUCCUGGCCGCUAUUAAUCUAUUCCCCAUUCAUAUAAUUUAUUCAUUUCAAGAAUGUUACGUAAGUGGAAUCCUACAUGUCACCUUUGGGAUUACCCUUUGUCCACUCAACAUAAUUCUGUGGAGAUUCAUCCAGGUUAUUGUGGCUAUCAAUAAUUUGUUGUUUUUUAAAAAAAAUUAUUGAGGACUAUGCGAUGCUAUGGAUAUAUAACACAAUUUGUUUAACCAUUCACCUCAUGAAAGUCAUCUAUACAUUUUUUCCUCAAUUUUGGCUAUUAAAAACAAGGCUGCUAUAAACUUUAAGUACAUGGAUUUUGUGUGAACAUAAGAUUCUAUUCCUCUGUGAUAAAUGCAUGGAAUACAAUUCCUAGGUGGUAUGGUAGUUGCACAUAUAGUUUUAAAAGUAAAAACUAUACAGAUAUUCUCCAGAGUGGGCUGUAACCAUUUAGAUUUCCACCAGCAAUGUAUGAGUGAUCCAGCUUUCUCUGAAUCCUUGACAGCACUUGAUGUGGUUACGCUUUUCUUUUGGCCAUUCUGAUAGGUAUGCAGCAAUUUCUCAUUGUGAUUUUAAUUGGUAUAUCACUAGUUGCUACUAAUGUUCUGAUUUUAACAUAUGAAUUUGGGGUGGCUGGGCACAAUGCAUCCCAUAACAAUGUGUAUUCUGGUGUGGCUGAGUGUUCUAAAAUUGUCAAUGGAAGUCCCGCUGGUUGAUCAUGCUGUUGGGUUCUUCUAUAUUCUUGUUGAUUUUCUGUCUGGUUAUUGCAUAAAUUGUUGAGAAAGGGGGACGUUGAAGCAUAUAGCUAUAUUUGUGGAUUUGUCUAGUUCACUGUUCAGUAAUUUCAAUUGUUGUUGCAUAGACAUUUAUGACUUUUGUCAGGGGAGGAGUUGGUGGAUUGGUUGUUUCCUCAUUAUAUAUUGUCCCUCUCUGUCUCUGAUUAGUUUCUUUAUUCUGAAAUAUACUAUAUCUGACAUUAAUAUAACCAGUCUUGCUCUCCUUUGUCUAAGGUUUGCAUGAUACAUCUUUUCCCAUCCUUUGGAUUUCAACUUGCCUGUAUCAUCAUAUUUGAAGGUAGUCUCUUUGUAGCCAGGAUGUAGUUGUGUCGCGUCCAUUAACCUACUCUGCCAAUCUGUGUCUUGUAAUUGGUAUAUUUAGAUCAUUGAUAUUUAAUACGAUGAUUGAUAGGGUAGGGCUUAAGCCUGCCAUUAUAUUUUUCCUUUUGUGUUUGUUCUCUCUGGUGUCGUUUUCUGGAUAUGCUUUCUUUUCCUUACCUUCCUAAGGUGACUUGAACAUUUUUCAGAAUGGUGUUUUGCCUUACCCAUAGUGUUUUUGAGUAUAUCUGUUUGCAUAGCCCUCUUAGUUUUUCCAGACAUUCAUAUGUCUGUGCAUCUCUAUCUUACCACACAGUAUACUGGUGUCAUUGUUGUACCAGUGUGAAUGAAUGAUAGAUGAGUUACCUCCCUUGUAGGUCUCUUUACCCUCCCAGUUUAUAAUUAUUUCAAAGAUUUUUUUUUACAGAGAGUUAGAACCACAUCAAAUGAUGGUAUGAUUUUUUUCUGAAGCUGUCAAUCGUAGUUUAGAAAACUCAAGAGAAGAAGGAAGGCCUAUUUUGCUUGCUGUUUGUUUGUUUUUUUUUUAAUUUUCUUUCUGAUGUCCCAAGGUUCCUUCUUUAAUCAUUUCCUUUCUGUCUAGAGAACUCCCUUUAGCCUUUCUUUUAAGGUAGAACUGCUGGUCAGAGAUUCCCUUAGCUUUUCUUAAUCUGAAACUGUUUUGAUCUUCCCCUUAAUCCCUGAAAGAUGUUUCUGCUGGAGAGAGGAGUCUGGGUUGACAAUUGUUUUCUUUCAUGGCUUGAAAAGCACCUGGCAACUUCAUUGUACCUCCAUGGUUUCUCAUGAGAAAUAGAUCAUCCCCAGAAUUGUUUUACCUUUCUAGGUAAGGUGUCACCUUUCUGUGUUGCUUUCAAGAUAUUCUCUUUGUCUUUCAUUUCCAACAUUUUAUUUUUUCAUGUGGCUUGCCAUAGACCUCUUUGGGUUUUAUUCUAUUUGGGGUUCUCACAGCUUCUUGAACCUGUAGGUUUCUGUCUCUUGCCAACUCUGGGAAGCUUUUAGCCAUUUACUUCUUUAUGUUUGCAGCCUUGUCCUCUUCCUCUUCCUCUUCCCCUUCCAGACAUAAAUAACAACAUGAAAGUGAGACCUUCUGAGGUAGUUUCACAGAGGUUCUGCUUACCUUCUCACCCAGUCUGUUUUUUCCUUGUUAAGAUUGUGCAAUAUCUAUUUUUUCAUCUGUAGUGGAUGGAUUUCUUUGCUCUGCACCAUCCAUUCUGCUGUUGAGCCUAUGUGUUGGACUUUUUAUUUUGGUUGUUGUAUUUUCCACCUCUAAUACUUCCAUUUGGUUCUCCUUUAAGUCUUGUAUUUAUUUGCUAAGGCUUUCUAUUUGUCCAUUGUUUUGAAUGUGCUCAUAAUUACUAAAUCAUUUUCAUCAGGCUUGCUGGCUUUAAAAUCUUUGUCAGACAAUCCCAACACCUCUCUCAUCUUAUUGCCAGUGUGUAUCGGCUGUCUAUUUUCAUUCGGCAUAAGAUUUUCCUGCUUCUUGCUAUGAUGAAGGAUUUUCAACUGAAACUUGGACUUUUGGGUAUUAUGUUACCAGACUCUCGAUUUUAUUGAAACCUUCUGUUUUAACUACCUUUUUCUGAGUCUGCUUCUGCAGGGGAAGGGGAGUGGCACCAUCUCGUUGAAGCCAGGUGUGUGUAGAAAUCCAGGUUUCUCACCUGACCUACCUCUGUUGACAACCUGAGUGGAGGGCCCUCGAGGAAAGAGCGCGCGGAUGAGGCCCCUUGGCUUGGAGCCUCUCGGCUUGGCAGCCCUGGAGGCUUGGCAGCCCUGGAGGGGUGGCGUCCACACUCUUGCGCACCCGGGACUCGGAAGCUCAAAACCCGCCGGCUGCUGCCGCUUCUGCGAGCCGGAGAGUGUUAGCCAGGCGAAUCCCGCACAUGGGCGCUUAGUUCUGGAACUGGAUACCCCGCGGGAAGAAUCCGGAUCCUGUAGCCCGGUUAUGGGUCUCCAGUGUCUUCAUUUCGGGAGAAAGCGGGGAACCCUCAGACCGGGCCUAUUGCGAUCAGCAGUCUUCUUACCUGAGGGAUCGCAGGUGCUUUCCGGGGCCUUUUGCUAGCACUUUCCUGGGGCCGCGGGAAUGUCCAGAUGCAGUCGAAUUUCAUCUGUCACAGGCAGCAAUACGCAGUUGCCCAAGGCGGCGCCUAACAUUUUCGUGGGUUUGUCCUCAAGGGGCGGUGCUCGGGUCGUUUAGCUAGAGUGGGGUCAGCAGGUUCGCCUCUCACACGAAAGGUGGCUUUCAUAAUGACCUUUUCUUUUUCUGUUUUUUUAAGGGAGGGGAGGGGAGCUGAGGGGUGGGAUGGGGGAAACUAGCUGCAUCUUUGAUCACAAGAAGUACGGGAGGAGUUCCAUUACUACCUGAAACCCCGCUGAGCACAAGGAACCAGGCCUGGUUUGCCCGCCAUGAGUUGGAUCCGUGAGUUGGAUCGGGAGACAAGGGCGCCAGAUGAGGUGGACUUCAUGUUAGCUUUAGAUCCAGAAAUUUCCAGUCUUCUCAUCUAUCGCCAAAAUCUUCUUUCUGAAGAUUUCAAGAUGACAGCUACAAUGUCUCUGAAACCAAGGAGGUCUUUCCUGUGAAGCCCACUUGGCUUCCUCGCGCCCCGAGGACAGUGGCGGAACCGGUCGAAUUGUGUGGCGGAACAAAAGAAAAUGAACGUAAAUCUGCACCUGGAGCUCGAGCCAAAGACCCAUCCAUUCAGUUUCAUGCUCUACUAAUUGAGCUAGUUGGGGGCAAAAGGGGACCCCUACACAUGUCUUUAUUGGUAGAGCCCCUUGCGCCAGUUCAGAGAUCAGGAAGCAGAGGGAUUCGGCUCACAAUGAGAGCCAAGUCCGCACUUCGGUGGCAAGGAAACUGAGGCUCGGAAACAGAGCAAGUGCUUGGCUCUGCCUCACACCUUGCUACAGCUAGGCUAGAAUGGAACACCUGCUCAGUUUCCUUGUGGCCUGUCCUCAAUACAGCCCAAAGCAGCGGCCAGGCUGGCAGAGGCGAGAGGUGUUGAGUAGCUGCUCAGUGACUGCCUGGAGCCCUGCAGUCCUGCAGCCCGCUUGGGUCACAGACAGCCACUUUCAGUUGGCCGCUCCAUCUCUUAGAAAGUUCAUCUUUCUUUACCUUCUCUUUUUUCCUCUGAAAAGGAGAUGGUUGUGUGGGUCAGCUUCCUUGGUGGUCUAGUGGCUAGGAUUCGGUGCUUUCACCCGUGCGGCCCGGGUUCAAUUCCCGAUGAAGGAAUACAUUUUGUAACAUCCCCAAAUUGUGUGUGAAGAUUUGAUAGAGAAACACACAGGUGAUGAUUAAAAUGCAGAAAUAUGUUCCCAGCAGCAAUAUUUGUAAUAAAGAACAGCAAUAUUGUAAUAAUAAAUGUUCACCAAUUAGGAAAUGUUAUAUGUUGUGAUCACUCCAUACCCUAAAAGGAUAUGCAAUUAUUUCAAAGAUGGAUGUAGAUAAUAAUAGCCGUGAUGAGGCCACCGAUGAUAAUGGUUAAUGCUCUUGGAGCAUUUACUAUGCCUCAGGGCAUGGGUUCAAUGUUUUACUGCCCUGUCUUAUUUAAACUUGGAACAACCCAUUUAGAAACGCAUUCCUAUUGGGCCCAUUUUAGAAUGCAGAAAUGGAGGCACAGAAAACCUGUGACUUCAGAGUCACACCGCCAAGGAAUAAGGCUAUCUGCUCGCGUCUACGGCUUCAUGGACAGAAGUGUCCAAGGUUCUCUUGUUCUUCUGCUAGGGAUUGCCAUCUUCUCAGAGAUGGGCAGCCUGAAGAAUCAGCGAAGGCAGGUGCAACGAGGAUGGAGGUACAGAAAGGAGGUGUAUAUUGGGCUUGGGGUAGGUAGAUUCUGGAGCUCCAGAACUGAGCUUUUGCCUAAAAUGCACCUUUUGCGAACAGCAUUUAUUUUUCUAACAAACCCCUAAGCCUUCAGGCAGGAUUUUCAUCAUCUAACUUGAAGCAGAUGGGCAUCAAAGACCCCAUAUAUCUGGACGUGGAAGAAUGAAGGUCAGAAAAGAAUAGUUACAAGGUUAACUAUGCUCCUGCAUGGAACAGGAUGAGUAGUCUUUAGUUUUUUGCCGAUGACUGCCCUAAUUGCUCCACAAUGAGGCACGUUGUGCCUGGAAGUCUGACGACAUCUGCCUCAGACAUCUGUCUAUUAUUAAAUGCCCCCAUCCCCAGGCUGCGCAUCUAGAUGCCUGAGGGCGUAGUGACAUGGAGGCCAGAAGUUGUGUGGUUGGGUACAUUGUUACCAGGCAGUGUGAGUGGGGGCAAGAUGCAGGAAUGCCAGAUCCAGGACAUUCUCCCUGGCCCACACUGCCUCUUGUGCUUCCCCUAUCAGAAGCGGCCCCACUGCACAUGACCACAGUAGCCUCUUGGUCUGAAGUCACCCACUUCCCCUUCCUUCACUGUGCUUCAUUUGUCAUGCUCACUGCUCGUGUCCCCUGUCCCUGAACGGGGAAACGCUCGUGGGGAGGACACAAGCCGGUUGUGUUCCCACUGCCCAGUCUCUUCUUGAGGCCUCUAGAUGUGGGCUCUGUAAGGCAGGAUUGGCACACCAUGCAGCUACUCACCUAGAGAAAGGAUUCACACCUAGUGAGCACCCAAUAUAUGCUCAGUGAAUGAAGGCAUUCCAAUGUCGGUUUCUGAGAGACAUCAAGAAUUCUACUGGACUUCCCACUUUUAGUCCUUUGAAUAAUUGGGGUAAUGGGAAGAUAGAAAAAGCUUUUCAAACCUGGGUGUUCUUUGUAAGGUUUAUUCCAAGUCUAGAGGGCACCUUCUGGAAUGAGCUCCCCUCUCUGUAAGGGGAAACACCUUCAGUCUGUGGGACUCUGUAGGUAGAGAGGAAGCUGAACCCUGAACAUUGAAGAGGAGGAGAAGAAAGUGGGUAAUACUGGGGGCAGCCUGGAGUAUGAGAGACAGACAGACAAGACACAGGCACACAGACACAGAUGGAGAGGUUGGAAAGGCAGGGCUGGAUCAAGGAGGAGUUGGGAAGCAAAAGGACCUAUAUGUCCAAGAGCCAGAUUUAGGGUGUAAAAGUUGGAGUUCAGUUUUGCUGAAGAGAGUCAACAAAAGAACCAAGGCAAAGGGGGCCAAUAACUCCAAGGAUCCAGGUCUGCAUAAGAAGCAUGGUCAGGUGCAGGAUCCUAUGGCUCCAGAGAUUUGUCUCCAGUGAGAUGAGUCUCACAAAAAAUCAAAACAAAACAAACACUGUCAAGGAAGGAAUAACACAGAGGUAGUUUUUAGCAUGCUAAUUCACCCUUGUCUAGGAGGGAGAACAGUCCAUAGAUCGUUUGCAUUCAACAAAAGCAGAAUGCAAUUCAUAAAGAAAUGAGAAGAGGAACAAAUUUCUAGAAGAAGCCAUUCUUUCCCCUCCUAUUUGAUAAGCCUCUUGACAGGAAGCAGCUCAGGGUCCCUCCAGCCAGUUUUCUCUGGACUUAGUUAGGUAGAUCACCAGAGAAAACAAUUACAAUUAUUGGAAGACUUUCUAAACAUCUUGGAGGUUUAGCUGUGGAACACUUAUCAGAGAGUAUCUCUGGGCAGUGUCCACCAUGUCUUUCUGCUGCGCCUCCUGCUUAGGUAAGUCAGGCAGGGCACCACCCCGUCACUGGUACAUCAGACUGGUGUGUGGAAACUUUGCUGAGCUGCCAAGAGCACGAAGGAAAAGGCUGUCUCACUGAGUUGGAAAAAUAUGUUGGAAGAUAAAUUGGCACACCUCCUGUUGAAGUCAAACUAAGAACACGUAAACAGAUGCCUUCAGCUCCCAGCAAAGUUUGAGUAACAGAUGCCUGAUUUACUCUCCUGCCUGAAAUCUCCCCACUGCUCCUCUCCACAAACAAACAGGUGCCUGUAAUGCCAGCAGUUUGGGAGGCCGGGGUGGGCUGAUCCCUUGAGCUCAGGAGUUUCAGACCAGACUGGGCAACAUGAUGAAACCUCAUCUCUACCAAAAAAAUUUCAAAUAAUUAGCCAGGCAUGGUGGUGUGUGCCUGUAGUCCCAGCUAGUCAGGAGGUUGCAGUGGGACGAUCGUUUCACCCUGAGAGGCAGAGGUUGCAGUGAGCCAAGAUUACAUCACUGAAGUCCAGCUUGGGCUACAGGGUGAGACCCUGUCUCAUGAAAGGAAGGAAGGAAGGAAGGAAGGAAGGGAGGAAGGAAGGAAGGAAGGAAGGGGCCAGGUGCACUGGCUCACAACUGUAAUCCUAGGACUUUGGGAGUCUGAAUCCGGCAGAUCACAAAGUCAGGAGAUGAAGAUGAUCCUGGCUAACAUGGUGAAACCCCUGUCUCUACUCAAAAUACAAAACAUUGGCCGGGUAUCGUGGCACAUGCCUAUAGUACCAACUACUUGGGAGGCUGAAGCAGGAGAAUCACUUGAGCCAGGCAGGCAGAGGUUGCAGUGAGCCCAAAUCAUGCCAAAACCACACUAUCAGAGAUGGUAAAGUCGUUGGAUGGGAUUAACAGCAGAUUAGAUGUUGCAGAAGAAAUGAUCAGGGAACAUGGAACCAUGAAUAAUUGAAAAUAUGCAAAAUGAAACUUACAGAAAAAAGAAAUUUUUUUAAAUGAAAAGAUUAUCACUGAACUGUAGGGCAGACUUAAGAGGUCUAAUUUAUGAGUAAUGGGAGUCCCUGAGAAGGAGCAGGGAGGAAAGGAAACAUUUAUUUUCUUUCUUUGUUAUUUUUCUUAGGAAUGGGGUCUCAGUAUGUUGAGACCCAGGCUGGUCUUGAAUUUCAGGCCUCACUCAACACCUCCCGACUUGGCCUCCCAAAGGCGUGAGCCACUGUGCCCAGCCAAUUUCUGAAGAAAAAUAGCUGGAAAGUUCCCAAUCAUAACAAAAAUUAUAAAUCCAGUGACCCAAGGAACUGAGGAAACAAAAGCACAAGAAACAUGAAGAAAACCACUCCUAGAUACCUCAUAAUAACAUUGCUCAAAUCUGGCCAGAAGAAAAAGACAUUGUACAUACACAGGAGCAAAGAUGAGGAUUGCAUCAGCUUCCUUUCUGCUCUUGCCGGCCUCUACCAGGAGCAGCAAUGCACACGAGCAGACAGAGAAGCAACAUCUUUAAGGUACUGAGGGCAGGGGAAGUUAACCUAGAAUACUAUGCCAGAAAAAAUAAAUUCCCAAAACUGGAAGUGAAAUAAGGACAUUUAGGCCAGGCACGGUGGCUCAAGCCUGUAAUCCCCAGCACUUAGGGAGGCCGAGGUGGGUGGAUCACAAGGUCAGGAGAUUGAGACUAUCCUGGCUAACACGGUGAAACCCCGCCUCUACUAAAAAUACAAAAAAAUAGCCGGGCAUGGUGGCGGGUGCCUGUAAUCCCAGCUACUGGGGAGGCUGAGGCAGGAGAAUGGUGUGAACCUGGGAGGUGGAGUUUGCAGUGAGCCGAGAUCGCCCCACUGCACUCCAGCCUGGGCGACAGAGCGAGACUCCAUCUCAAAAAAAAAAAAAAAAAAAAAAAAAAUGACAUUUAGAGAUGUACAAAAGCUGACCGAAUUCACUAGCAGCCAGCUGAGCCACACUACAAAAACCGUGAAAGGAGUCCUCCAGGCAGAAGGAACCCAAUACCAGACAAAAAUCCAGAUCUUCAUUUCCAGAGGAAAUGAAGAACACCAGAAAUGGGUAACUAUAAUAGGUAUUUUCUUAUUUUGUAAAUUUCUUUUGUGAAAAUUUGACCAUUUAAACAAAAGCAACAAUGGGUUGUGGGGUUUAUAACAUGCCCAAAGGUAAAGUGCAUGUCAGCAAUAGCAUCAAGGCCAGAAGGCGAGGUAUAACAUCACUUGAAGGUUGACUGUGAUAAGUUAAAAAGGUUGGCUAUAAGCCCUAAGGCAAUUACUAAAAUAACAAAUGAAAGAGUUAUAGCUAAUAAGCCAAAAGAGGAGAGAGAAUGGAAUGAUAUAAAAACAGCGUGGACACUAUGAUAGAGUAAUUGCUCUUUCUAUAGUAAUUGCAGCUCUAUCCUAUAGAAAUACUUAUACACCAGUGGAUGACAAUGCCCGUACAAGAAUGACUAGAGCAUUAUAUGUAAUUGUAAAAUCACAGAACCAAUUUAACCUCAAAAGCGUAUGGAAAGGGCUAAAUGAAUGACAGUUAGAGAGACAGAGAAAGAGAGAGAGAGAGAGGGCGCCAGGCGCGGUGGCUCACUCCUGUAAUCCCAGCACUUUGGGAGGCUGAGGCGGGCGGGUCACGAGGUCAGGAGACCGAGACCACCCUGGCCAACAUGGUGAAACCCGGUCUCUACUAAAAAUAUAAAACUUAACUGGGCGUGGUGGCCCAUGCCUAUAAUCCCAGCUACUCGGGGGGCUGAGGCAGGAGAAUUGCUUGAACCAGAGGGUCGGAGGUUGCAGUGAGGCGAGAUCGCGCCAGGGAACUCCAGCUAUGCAACAGAGGGAGACCCGGUCUCAAAAAAAAAAAAAAAAAAAAAGGUGAGAGAGAGUUCCCAGAAUCCUAGUGGACCUUGAUUUACUUCCUCUUGUCCUACGCGAGACAAGGAGGAGUGGAGGGUAAAGUUGGUCUCGCUCUGCCUUUCCAUGAAACCAUGUGCUCGAUAGAAGAAAGUUGCCAGCGGUUUAAGCAUUUUUAAAAUGCAAGAAAUAGCUCUAUAGAACAGGCUCGAACCACCCACCUCCAGGCUUGGAAGCAAGCAUACCAACCGACUGAGACACACAGUCAACUCUCGUUCUGGUAUCACCAGACCAAGGGACGAUCCAACGUUCGGCGGAGCUACUGCCUUUUGUAGAACAAUUGUGCAGGCUCCAAAGCCUCGGAAAACCUGAGAGGCGCAUCUUGCUGGCUACGGUUGAAACCCGUGCAUUGGGUGAUUCCGAAGCUGGAAGGGCAGCGGAAUGGCCUUCGCCCCGUCCUGACCCUCGCAGGCGUCAGACCCAGCAUCCCAGGAAACGCCCGGGUCCGCGACUCCCUGGGCCUGAGCCGCGUGGGUCCCAGGGGAAGCAAGCAGAACGCCCCGUGGGCUCUAGUGAUGGCUCUUCCCCUUCUUGGCUCCGCCUUCACCCGAUUCUCUACUGCUGCUUGCGCUCCCCUCGCUCACCUCGGCCUCGGUCGGUGGGGCGGGAGAGAGGAGGGGUGAAAAGCAGAAAUACGGAGAGGCCCCACAGAAGCAGAGGAGGUGCGGACCAGGACAGAGAGACCUCCCGAGAGAGGCUGGUGCAGGGAGGCCCAGGCUGGAGUGGAGGAGAUGAGAAUUGUUCUCAUCACGUAUGAAGAUUGGGAGGAAGGGAGGGAAAAGCAGAGCGGGCAUGAAAGAAAAGCGCGAGUCCCCUGUGGCUGUCUGGGAACGAAUCCGCCUAAUAAUCGAAAUCCAUUGACGUCAAAAGGGCUAGAGCAAGCUCCGCCAUCGCGGCUUAGCCUGUGGCUCGCCGUGAUCGUAUAGUGGUUAGUACUCUGCGUUGUGGCCGCAGCAACCUCGGUUCGAAUCCGAGUCACGGCAAUGUCGUUAGUCUAGGCUGUCAGCUCUUCCCUUUUGCUCCCGCAACCAGGCGCGUCAGGGGAAGGAAAAGAGACCUCACACCUUACUAACUUGGCGAGGAAUCCAAGGGAAACCCUGGACGUGCUCCCUCCUGUUUCUGAGCCUCACGCAGCAAAUAACCCAGUCGGCCCUGUUGGUGGCUUACACGAAGGCAAUGGUGUGCUCAGAACCGUUCUUCCGGUCACUGGGGGCACGUCGGGGUAAGGAAAAGAGACCUCACAGCUCACUAACCUGGGGAGGAGUCCAAGGGAAACUCUGGACGUGCACCGUCCUGUCUCUGAGCCUCACAGAGCAAAUAACCCAGUCAGCCCUGUUGGUGGUGGCUUACACGAAGGCAAUGGUGUGCUCAGAACCUGUUUUCCAGUCACUGGGGCUGUUACACACGAAACGACAAGAAGCUUUUAAUGACUUUAAACUCCAAACUCUUUGUUGUGGCCUACAAUGGCUUGUCUCUGUGCCCGUCACCAAGUUUGUAUGCCAACAGCAAAGUGUGAGGAAAGGCAAUCUGGUGCCAGGGGUCUUUCCACCUCCACUCUGCCACGUAGGAAUGGGCCUUGGGCCUGGAGCACUUCCUUCCUGAGAGAUAAGGAGUCAUCACAGCCUGUGCUGGACUCACCUCCUUGUGUGGGAGUAUCUUUCCCCCGAUCAGACUUGGUGUGUACCCCUUUGUUCCACUUAAGCAUGUGCAUCAACUGGCACCUGGCCAGCUGCUGUAUCUGCCCCCCACUGAGGGGAGGAAGCGGGGGUCCUUUCUUCUGCUUCUCAAGAGGCUGUGUGUGCAGGCCAAAUGGAGGGACCUGCUGGCCAUGGGGGACCAACGCCCAAGACUGAAGCGGAGCCCACACCCCGCUCUGUCUCCUCUCUGUAUGAAUAAUGUGUUGUUCUCCCGUCCAGUCUCUGACUGCCUUGUAUUUCCUUGGCGACUCUGAUACCAAGAGGCUAGGGCCAGAAGUGUUCAGACUCCUGCUGAUAGGAAACCGAUGCCACUUGCUGGACAAGAUGAACGAAAAUUCUUCUUGUAUAGGUCUUUUUGUGGACACGUGCAUUCAUUUCCCUUGAGGAAUACCAAGUACUGGAAUUGUUGGAUCAUAGGAUCGGCCCUUUCUUCAAAUAAGAGCAGUUGGAACAACAAAAGCUGUUCAGUUGUACCCUUGGAAUCCACGGAAAUCCUGGGUAGGGAAGCUCCAGUACCACCAACUGGAAAGACUGGGAAUGCCUAGUAGCUGGUACUGGCCAUUGUCGUAGGCUUUGUCCACUUUGACAAACUGAAGACGGGGACUCGACUCACCUUCGCCAGCCACAGGAGGACCUCCAGACGAGGACCGGACUCGCCGCCUUUCUUUCCCGUCAGAAAGGGAUCCCUUGCGGACAAGACCGAAGUGAGUAGCUGGUUUCCCCUACGUGUCCUUCCGGGGCUGGGUGUCUCGGGAGCUCAGGCUGACAGGAGACCUAACUACCGGCGACUGAGACCAGCAGGAGCCUGGAGGGGCGCGCACCAGGGUGGAGGUUUGGUGCCGGGGGUUGAGAACAACAGUCAAACCCUCUUCUUCCCUGUACCGCGCACCUGCCCCCUGGGAUGCCGAACGAAGUGGCCCCUAAGGCUUCUCUGCAGGUCCAACCGAAACAGGCCUGAAGUUCCAGGAUGGGCGAGAGGAUCCUCUUUGAGCGAAACCAGCCUUCUGCCUGGCUGGCCCUGGUCAACACACUCGGAAGAGGCCGAUUUGGAGGACAGAACGGAAGAAAAGACCUAAAGUAGAUGAUCCUCAUCCAAUCACUUAAAGGCCUGAAUAGAACCAAAAGUCUGACCUGCCCAUGAGUAAGAGAGAGCUCCUUCUGCCUGAUUGCUUCAGCUGAGAUAUCAGCCUUUUCCUGCCUUUGGAAUUGAACUGCAACACUGGCUCUUCCUGGGCCUCAAGCCUGCCAGCUUUUGAACUGUAAUCACACCAUCAUCUCUCCUGGUUCUCAGGCCUUUGGACUCAAAUCAGAAACACACCAUGGGCUCUCCUGUGUCUCAAGCUUGCCAACUGUGAUCUUGAGACUUCUCAGCCUCCAUAAUCACAUGAGUCAAUUGUUGGUUCUGUUUCUCUGGAGAACCCUAAUCCAUCACUUUACAUAUUUCUUCCAUUACACAUAUUGUUUCCCAGCAUAUUAAAUAAUUUACUGAUUAUA